rnacentral:rRNA from 1 species
AAAUUGAAGAGUUUGAUCAUGGCUCAGAUUGAACGCUGGCGGCAGGCCUAACACAUGCAAGUCGAACGGUAGCACAGAGAGCUUGCUCUCGGGUGACGAGUGGCGGACGGGUGAGUAAUGUCUGGGAAACUGCCUGAUGGAGGGGGAUAACUACUGGAAACGGUGGCUAAUACCGCAUAACGUCGCAAGACCAAAGAGGGGGACCUUCGGGCCUCUUGCCAUCAGAUGUGCCCAGAUGGGAUUAGCUAGUUGGUGAGGUAACGGCUCACCAAGGCGACGAUCCCUAGCUGGUCUGAGAGGAUGACCAGCCACACUGGAACUGAGACACGGUCCAGACUCCUACGGGAGGCAGCAGUGGGGAAUAUUGCACAAUGGGCGCAAGCCUGAUGCAGCCAUGCCGCGUGUAUGAA